UACGUAGGGUGCAAGCGUUGUCCGGAAUUAUUGGGCGUAAAGAGCUCGUAGGUGGCCUGUCGCGUCGGCUGUGAAAACUCGGGGCUUAACUCCGAGCUUGCAGUCGAUACGGGCAGGCUAGAGUUCGGCAGGGGAGACUGGAAUUCCUGGUGUAGCGGUGAAAUGCGCAGAUAUCAGGAGGAACACCGGUGGCGAAGGCGGGUCUCUGGGCCGAUACUGACGCUGAGGAGCGAAAGCGUGGGGAGCGAACAGG
rnacentral:rRNA from 1 species